rnacentral:rRNA from 1 species
GCGGUGGGGGGGUGGCUUAUACAUGCAGUCGAACGAACUCUGGUAAUGAUUGGUGCUUGCAUCAUGAAUUACAUUUGAGUGAGUGGCGAACUGGUGAGUAACACGUGGGAAACCUGCCCAAAAGCGGGGGAUAACACCUGGAAACAGAUGCUAAUACCGCAUAACAACUUGGACCGCAUGGUCCGAGUUUGAAAGAUGGCUUCGGCUAUCACUUUUGGAUGGUCCCGCGGCGUAUUAGCUAGAUGGUGAGGUAACGGCUCACCAUGGCAAUGAUACGUAGCCGACCUGAGAGGGUAAUCGGCCACAUUGGGACUGAGACACGGCCCAAACUCCUACGGGAGGCAGCAGUAGGGAAUCUUCCACAAUGGACGAAAGUCUGAUGGAGCAACGCCGCGUGAGUGAAAAAGGGUUUCGGCUCGUAAAACUCUGUUGUUAAAGAAAAACAUAUCUGAAAGUAACUGUUCAGGUAUUGACGGUAUUUAACCAAAAAGCCACGGCUAACUACGUGCCACCAGCCGCGGUAAUACGUAGGUGGCAAGCGUUGUCCGGAUUUAUUGGGCGUAAAGCGAGCGCAGGCGGUUUUUUAAGUCUGAUGUGAAAGCCUUCGGCUCAACCGAAAAAGUGCAUCGGAAACUGGGAAACUUGAGUGCAGAAAAGGACAGUGGAACUCCAUGUGUAGCGGUGAAAUGCGUAGAUAUAUGGAAGAACACCACUGGCGAAGGCGGCUGUCUGGUCUGUAACUGACGCUGAGGCUCGAAAGUAUGGGUAGCAAACAGGAUUAGAUACCCUGGUAGUCCAUACCGUAAACGAUGAAUGCUAAGUGUUGGAGGGUUUCCGCCCUUCAGUGCUGCAGCUAACGCAUUAAGCAUUCCCCCUGGGGAGUACGGCCGCAAGGCUGAAACUCAAAGGAAUUGACGGGUGGCCCGCACAUCGGUGGAGCAUGUGGUUUUAUCUCGAGCUACGCGAAGAACCCUUACCAGUCUUGGACUACUAUUGCUAAUUCUAAGAGAUUAGACGUUCCCUUGCGGGAACAUCGAUACAGGUGUGCAUGGCUAGCCGACGCCUCAUGUCCUUGAGAUGUUGGUUACAUUCCCGCAACGAGCGCCACAUAUUAUCAUUGCAGCAUUAAGUUGGGCAUCUCUGUGAGACUUGCCGUGGACACCCGGAGAGGCGGGGAAUGACACUCUCAUACCAUC